rnacentral:rRNA from 1 species
AUCGGGGUACUGCGAACUCGAUGAACGAACGGGGAGAUUCAUCGUCACUCCGCGGCGUACGAGCGCGCGCCUCGAUGCCGCCGGCUUCGGUCGGCCGGCACGGGUCGCGUUCGUCCACGUCCGCGGACGGCGUGCACUUCUCCCUCAGUAAUACAUCGCGACCCGUUCGAUGUCGGUCUAAGCGCCGUUCGGGAGUACCAUCGUCGCCCUCGGGCGGCGGCGGUACCGUGACGGACGCCGACCGGCCGUCGGACGGUAGUUUUGACGAAUCGCGCACGCGUUUACAACGCGUCCGGCCCGACGCAAGGCAACGUCGUAUCCCGCGUCCUGCCCGUGUGCGGACGUGGGUGCGGCGCGCCUGCCGUCGCAGCCGUGCAGUCUCGGACCUGUGCGCGUAUCUGUCUGCGAUGAUUCAGUUUCGGGCACUCGC